AGUAGCGAAGGUCAUGAUCUCACACUGCCAAGAAAAGCCUCUAGCCAGGAGAAGGUGCCCGUACCGCAAACCGACACAGGUAGGCGAGAAGAGAAUUCUAAGGCGCGCGGAAGAACUCUCGUUAAGGAACUCGGCAAAAUGACCCCGUAACUUCGGGAGAAGGGGUGCCUCGGUAGGGUGAAUAGCCCGAGGGGGCCGCAGUGAAAAGGCCCAAGCGACUGUUUAGCAAAAACACAGGUCUGUGCGAAGCCGCAAGGCGAAGUAUACGGGCUGACGCCUGCCCGGUGCUGGAAGGUUAAGGGGAGCGGUUAGGAGCAAUCCGAAGCUGUGAACCGAAGCCCCAGUAAACGGCGGCCGUAACUAUAACGGUCCUAAGGUAGCGAAAUUCCUUGUCAGGUAAAUUCUGACCCGCACGAAUGGCGUAACGACUUGGGCGCUGUCUCAACGAGAGAUCCGGUGAAAUUUUAAUACCUGUGAAGAUGCAGGUUACCCGCGACAAGACGGAAAGACCCCAUGGAGCUUUACUGCAGCUUGAUAUUGAACUUGGGUACGAUCUGUACAGGAUAGGUGGGAGCCU
rnacentral:rRNA from 1 species